rnacentral:rRNA from 1 species
GAUCAAGCGCAUAAGGGCUUCUGACGGAUGCCUUGGCAUUGAGAGGCGAUGAAGGACGUGGCACGCUGCGAUAAGAGCCGGGGAGGCGCGAGCACCCUUUGAUCCGGCUAUCUCCGAAUGGGGAAACCCACCUUUAUGGUCACCCAACUUAGUCUUGCCUUCGGGCAGGGCCAGGAUUGGUUGAUCAGAAGAGGUAUAAUGACCUGAAUACAUAGGGUUCAUUAAGCAAACCCGGGGAACUGAAACAUCUCAGUACCCGGAGGAAAGGACAUCAACCGAGACUCCCGUAGUAGUGGCGAGCGAACCGGGACCAGGCCAGUGCUGUCGUGACAUAAAGCUGAAGGAUCUGGGAAGGUCCGCCAUAGUGGGUGAUAGCCCCGUAAGCGUCAAAUAGCGACAGACUCGAGUAGGGCGGGACACGUGAAAUCCUGUCUGAACAUGGGGGGACCACCCUCCAAGCCUAAGUACUCCUCAAUGACCGAUAGCGAACAAGUACCGUGAGGGAAAGGUGAAAAGCACCCCNNNNNAUGACGACCCGAAACCAGGUGAUCUAUCCAUGAGCAGGUUGAAGGUAAGGUAACACUUACUGGAGGACCGAACCGGUGAAUGUUGAAAAAUUCUCGGAUGACUUGUGGAUAGGGGUGAAAGGCCAAUCAAACCUGGACAUAGCUGGUUCUCCGCGAAAACUAUUUAGGUAGUGCCUCGGACGUAUUCCUUGGGGGGUAGAGCACUGAAUGGAUGCGGGCGGCGCGAGCUGUACCAAUUCUAAUCAAACUCCGAAUACCCAAGAGAACUAUCCGGGAGACACACGGCGGGUGCUAACGUCCGUCGUGAAAAGGGAAACAACCCUAACCAUCAUCUAAGGCCCCCAAGUACUGGCUAAGUGGGAAACGAUGUGGGUUUGCUUUGACAACCAGGAUGUUGGCUUAGAAGCAGCCAUCAUUUAAAGAAAGCGUAACAGCUCACUGGUCAAGCGAACCUGCGCGGAAAAUGUAACGGGGCUAAAGCCAGUCGCCGAAGGUAUGGGUGUGCACUCUGUGCACGCGGUAGCGGAGCGUUCCGUAAGCCGAUGAAGGUGAGGCGUGAGCCUUGCUGGAGGUAUCGGAAGUGAGAAUGCUGACAUGAGUAGCGAUAAAGAGGGUGAGAGACCCUCUCGCCGAAAGCCCAAGGGUUCCUGCGUAAAGCUAAUCUGCGCAGGGUUAGUCGGCCCCUAAGGCGAGGCCGAAAGGCGUAGUCGAUGGGAAUCAGGUGAAUAUUCCUGAACCAGUUGGAAGUGACGGAUCUGGUAAAUUGUCAGGGCUUAUUGGAUUGCUCCUGGCAGUGAACAGGUCCCUGGAAAUAACUCCAACGGAGACCGUACCCGAAACCGACACAGGUGGGCAGGUAGAGUAUACCAAGGCGCUUGAGAGAACUAUGCUGAAGGAACUCGGCAAAUUG